rnacentral:misc_RNA from 1 species
UAGAGCUUUGAUUAUCAUAAGAAGUGAAAAGUAAAUAGAAAAAAUAGAGCUGGCAUUAUUUCUUAUGUUGAGUUCACUACAAGCACUAUACUGUCCAACUUCAGUGUAUGGUGAUAGCAGCUACAAUGAAUCUUUUCUACUUAGGAGGUCCUUGUCAAAGCUACUGGAACCAAGUGGCUCUUUAAAACUCUAUUUUCCUUUUUAUUCCCCUGACCCUUUCUUUCUCAGCUUCUCUCCCUCUAUUUCUGUUUCUUUCUCAUUGUGACCAGUUUGGAAUAUCCUCUGUUAAGUGUUAUACCAUGUUUUUCAGGUGGUCAAAAUGGUACUGCAAG